UGGCCAAGGAUGAGAAAACUAAUCUGAUUGGAUAUCGUUCUGCUCUGAUGGUUAAAGGAUUAACUGAGGCCA
rnacentral:snoRNA from 1 species